rnacentral:rRNA from 1 species
UGGGGAAUAUUGGACAAUGGGCGAAAGCCUGAUCCAGCCAUGCCGCGUGUGUGAAGAAGGUCUUCGGAUUGUAAAGCACUUUAAGUUGGGAGGAAGGGCAGUAAGCUAAUACCUUGCUGUUUUGACGUUACCGACAGAAUAAGCACCGGCUAACUUCGUGCCAGCAGCCGCGGUAAUACGAAGGGUGCAAGCGUUAAUCGGAAUUACUGGGCGUAAAGCGCGCGUAGGUGGUUCGUUAAGUUGGAUGUGAAAGCCCCGGGCUCAACCUGGGAACUGCAUCCAAAACUGGCGAGCUAGAGUAUGGUAGAGGGUGGUGGAAUUUCCUGUGUAGCGGUGAAAUGCGUAGAUAUAGGAAGGAACACCAGUGGCGAAGGCGACCACCUNGACUGAUACUGACACUGAGGUGCGAUAGCGUGGGGAGCAAACAGGAUUAGAUACCCUGGUAGUCCACGCCGUAAACGAUGUCAAACUAGCCGUUGGGUUCCUUGAGAACUUAGUGGCGCAGCUAACGCAUUAAGUUGACCGCCUGGGGAGUACGGCCGCAAGGUUAAAACUCAAAUGAAUUGACGGGGUCAUAGCUGUUUCCUG